UGCCAGCAGCCUCGGUAAUACGGAGGGGGUUAGCGUUGUUCGGAAUUACUGGGCGUAAAGCGCACGUAGGCGGAUUAGUAAGUUAGAGGUGAAAGCCCUGGGCUCAACCUAGGAACUGCAUCCAAAACUAACUCACUAGAGUACGAUAGAGGGAGGUAGAAUUCAUAGUGUAGCGGUGGAAUGCGUAGAUAUUAUGAAGAAUACCAGUGGCGAAGGCGGCCUCCUGGAUCUGUACUGACACUGAGGUGCGAAAGCGUGGGUAGCGAACAGGAUUAGAUA
rnacentral:rRNA from 1 species